AGUGAACGCUGGCGGUAGGCCUAACACAUGCAAGUCGAACGGCAGCACAGUAAGAGCUUGCUCUUACGGGUGGCGAGUGGCGGACGGGUGAGGAAUACAUCGGAAUCUACUUUUUCGUGGGGGAUAACGUAGGGAAACUUACGCUAAUACCGCAUACGACCUACGGGUGAAAGCAGCGGAUCUUCGGACCUUGCGCGAUUGAAUGAGCCGAUGUCGGAUUAGCUAGUUGGCGGGGUAAAGGCCCACCAAGGCGACGGUCCGUAGCUGGUCUGAGAGGAUGAUCAGCUCCACUGGAACGGAGACACGGUGCAGAGUCCUACGGGAGGCAGCAGUAGGAAAUAUGGGACAAUGGGCUAAAGCCUGCUCCAGCUAUGCCGCGAGGGUGAAGAGGGCCUUCGGCUUGGAAAGCGCUUCUGUUGGAAAAGAAAAGCAGCAAGUUAAAACCGCAGCGUUCUGACGGUACCCAAAGAAGAGGCACCGGCUAACUUCGUG
rnacentral:rRNA from 1 species